rnacentral:misc_RNA from 1 species
GUAUAAGUUUAUAGGCACAAGGGCCUGCUUAUUACAUUCUAUAAACAUGCAUGGGGGUAUAUGAAAAAACAUAGACCUGAAAACGUAAGGAAAGGAAGAUCAAUCCUCAAACCUGAAUUGCCAGGGCAUUCAGAAAGAUAUCCAGGUCUACAAAAGGUUCACAGGUGGAGAUAUAAAGAUGACAAGUGUGCACAUGCUCCCUAGGGAGCCAGCAUCAACUCAUCAGGUUUAUUUUCAAUAAUGAUCCUUCCGCAGGUUCACCUACGGAAA